UUGACAAAUUUCUUACUGGAGAAAAUCAUCCUAUGUCUACAAGGAAAUCAGAUCCGAUGAAGCUUUCGCUACUCCAUUAUCAAAGCAGUUUUACCCACAGUGUGUGAAUGAAACUGAACUGCAAGCUCAAAUGCGCAAUGGAGAACUCGAGUUGAUGUUUAUCCACGGACACAAUUGCUUCCUCGAUAGUGGCCUAGGAUAACAAAUCAAGAGCUACAACAAAUAUCUGGCGAGUCUCCUACUUAUGUGUUUUGUCUACAAUCCUCCAUCACUCCCUUGUUUGAAAAGAUGUUAAGUGCUAGUGAUGCUGGGCAGAUUGGGCGACUUGUGCUUCCAAAGAAAUGUGCAGAGCCUGAAGAACUUCCUGUAAAAGUUCAGAAUGCAAGUGGAAAAGAUUGAAUAUUCCAAUUUCAAUUUUGGCCUAACAAC